GACGAACGCUGGCGGCGUGCCUAAUACAUGCAAGUAGAACGCAGUUGCGAAGGGGGGAGUAAAGCGUAGGUAAAUGCCUGGAAGAGGGGGAUAACUAAUGGAAACGAUAGCUAAUACCGCAUACUACCAGAUGGACCUGCGUUGUAUUAGCUAGUUGGUGAGGUAACGGCCCACCAAGGCAACGAUACCUAGCCGACCUGGGAGGGUGAUCUGCCCCACUGGGACUUGGGCACGGCCCAGGCUCCUACGGGAGGCAGCAGUAGGGCAUCUUCGGCAAUUGGGGGAACCCUGACCAGGCAACGCCGCGUGAGUUAAGAAGGUUUUCGGGUCGGAAAGCUCUGUUGUUAAGGAAGCGGUACCUAACCAGAAAGGGACGGCUAACUACGUGCCAGCAGCCGCGGUAAUUC
rnacentral:rRNA from 1 species